CACGUAGGCACCAAGCGUUGUCCGGAUUUAUUGGGCGUAAAGAGCUCGUAGGCGGUUCGGUAAGUCGGGUGUGAAAACUUUGGGCUCAACCCAAAGCCUGCACCCGAUACUGCUGUGACUUGAGUCCGGUAGGGGAGUGGGGAAUUCCUGGUGUAGCGGUGGAAUGCGCAGAUAUCAGGAGGAACACCGGUGGCGAAGGCGCCACUCUGGGCCGGUACUGACGCUGAGGAGCGAAGGCGUGGGGAGCGAACAGG
rnacentral:rRNA from 1 species